UUUGUUUUCUUACUCAGUUUCGGCUAAAAGUGGGACAACCCAUUGGCAAUGGGUUGUCCCACUUUUAACGGAAACUGAGUAAGAAAACAAAGGAUUUUUCGAUUUCUGAGUAAGACCAACUCAGCCACUGAGUAGAAAUUUUUCUCUGUGAGUCCCAACAAGUGUCAGAUACAUUAAAUAGAUGGGGUAGAGGAUAUAGGAAGAUGUGGGAAUAGGAUGGGAAGAGGUUGAAAAUGAAGAGAUAGUAGAGAGGUUUCGAUUUUGUUGCUGAAACGAGAAAAAGAAAGAAUGAUAAAGAACAUUAGCGAUAUGUUCAUAGAUUAUGAUUUGGUCGAUAAUUUCUCAUCUAUUUUGUUUCCAUAUCGUUGCAUCGGUGAACAUUUUCAUCGCCUUUUCCGUUUUUGUUAGGGCCAUCUCGCGUUUUUGUCAUGUCCUCUUUGCCGGUUGGCGACGUUCGGGAUUGCUUCCAGCCCAUUUGUUCGCAGUACAUAUCAGGCAUCCCGUUUUAACAAGUCCUACCCAGAAUUAGAAACCCGGAUCUUCCACUUCCACAGACAGUCCUAACUAGUGUCAGAUAAGUUCAAUUGAGGAUAUGAAGCGGCAAAAUGAGAAGACAGUAGAGAAGGUUUGGUUCAUUAGUAGCUGUGUUCAUGUGAUGUUUGUCUGAAAUUGAAAAACUAUUUUCCAUAAGUGUUCAACUCUCCACCCCAAAUUUAAUACCGGAAAAACAUCUGAUCAGAUGUAUAGUUUCGCAAUUCUAUGUCCACAUUGAAAUGCUUUUUUGUUAAUACAUCUUUUAUCAAGAAGGAAUAAUGUUAUUUACUGUUAUAAAAUAAUUCAGUUGAAGGGCAGCUAAUGUAUUGUAAUCCAGAAUAAACCUACAGAAAAUGUCUCAAUAAAAAGUUAACUCUAGUUCAACUAACUACACAAACUAAAA